UGGGGAAUAUUGGACAAUGGGCGAAAGCCUGAUCCAGCCAUGCCGCGUGUGUGAAGAAGGUCUUCGGAUUGUAAAGCACUUUAAGUUGGGAGGAAGGGCAGUAAGCGAAUACCUUGCUGUUUUGACGUUACCGACAGAAUAAGCACCGGCUAACUCUGUGCCAGCAGCCGCAGUAAUACAGAGGGUGCAAGCGUUAAUCGGAAUUACUGGGCGUAAAGCGCGCGUAGGUGGUUCGUUAAGUUGAAUGUGAAAGCCCCGGGCUCAACCUGGGAACUGCAUCCAAAACUGGCGAGCUAGAGUAGGGCAGAGGGUGGUGGAAUUUCCUGUGUAGCGGUGAAAUGCGUAGAUAUAGGAAGGAACACCAGUGGCGAAGGCGACCACCUGGGCUCAUACUGACACUGAGGUGCGAAAGCGUGGGGAGCAAACAGG
rnacentral:rRNA from 1 species